GUCCACGCCCUAAACGAUGCGAACUGGAUGUUGGGUGCAACUAGGCACUCAGUAUCGAAGCUAACGCGUUAAGUUCGCCGCCUGGGAAGUACGGUCGCAAGACUGAAACUCAAAGGAAUUGACGGGGGCCCGCACAAGCGGUGGAGUAUGUGGUUUAAUUCGAUGCAACGCGCAGAACCUUACCUGGCCUUGACAUCCACGGAACUUUCCAGAGAUGGAUUGGUGCCUUCGGGAACCGUGAGACAGGUGCUGCAUGGCUGUCGU
rnacentral:rRNA from 1 species